rnacentral:rRNA from 1 species
GGGGAAUAUUGGACAAUGGGCGCAAGCCUGAUCCAGCCAUGCCGCGUGGGUGAAGAAGGCCUUCGGGUUGUAAAGCCCUUUUGUUGGGAAAGAAAAGCAGCCGGCCAAUACCCGGUUGUUCUGACGGUACCCAAAGAAUAAGCACCGGCUAACUCUGUGCCAGCAGCCGCGGUAAUACAGAGGGUGCGAGCGUUAAUCGGAUUUACUGGGCGUAAAGCGUGCGUAGGCGGCUUUUUAAGUCGGAUGUGAAAUCCCCGAGCUUAACUUGGGAAUUGCAUUCGAUACUGGGAAGCUAGAGUAUGGGAGAGGAUGGUAGAAUUCCAGGUGUAGCGGUGAAAUGCGUAGAGAUCUGGAGGAAUACCGAUGGCGAAGGCGGCCCCCUGGACGAAGACUGACGCUCAGGUGCGAAAGCGUGGGGAGCAAACA